AAUCAACGCUGGCGGCGUGCCUAAUACAUGCAAGUCGAACGCGAAAGUCCCGCAAGGGAUGAGUGGAGUGGCAAACGGGUGAGUAACGCGUGGGUGACCUGCCUUCGAGUGGGGGAUAACGUUUCGAAAGGAACGCUAAUACCGCAUGACAUCCUGCCUUUUAACAGGCGGAGAUCAAAGCUGGGGAUCGCAAGACCUAGCGCUUGAAGAGGGGCCCGCGUCCGAUAGCUAGUUGGUGGGGUAACGGCUCACCAAGGCAACGAUCGGUAGCCGGCCUGAGAGGGCGGACGGCCACACUGGGACUGAGACACGGCCCAGACUCCUACGGGAGGCAGCAGUAGGGAAUUGUUCGCAAUGGGCGACAAGCCUGACGACGCAACGCCGCGUGGAAGGANGAAGAUCGUUCGGGUCGUAAAACUCCUGUCGAGCGGGAACGAAAGAUCCGCGACCGAAUACGUCGCGGAAGUGACGGU
rnacentral:rRNA from 1 species